AAUAAGCGGAGGAAAAGAAAACAAAAGUGAUACCCCUAGUAACGGCGAGCGAACAGGGUUAAGUCCAACGCAAAGGCAUGUUAUACAUUUGUGUAACAAGCGAUGCUGCGUAUGGGUUAGCUGCUUGAGUUUAAAGUAUUUGUUGAUUUGUGUUUAAACGAACUACCGAAUAGUUGGCCAUAGAGGGUUAAAGCCCCGUAUAGACAUUAUAAAUUCAACAAGUGCUAGUACGAAGGCGUUAAUCAAAGAGUAGGGUUGCUUGAGAGUGCAGCUUGAAGUAGGAGGUAUGCAUCUCCUAAGACUAAAUAUCACUGCGAGACCGAUAGCAAACAAGUAGCGUGAGCGAAAGUUGAAAAGAACUUUGAAGAGAGAGUCCAAAGAGCGUGAAACCACUAGUAGGGAAGCGGAGAUUAUCACGAAGUGGCGUUGCAUUUAUGUGGUGUUUAUAUGAUUGAAGCUGUUUGUGUUUAGUUUAGUUUUUGUUCGCAAAGAAAACCUAGACAUAAAAUUUGUAUUCAGUAUAAAUGCUAUAAAGCAUAAAUGUUGCCAGUAUCGUGUCUUCUUUUUAAACUUCAUAGUACUUGAUAUCGCUUAAACUCACUUAUUGGGGGAGUUUGGAUAAGAUGUUAGGUAAGGGUUAUAUACUGAUCUGAUCAAUGUAAUAUACAUUGAAAGGACUGAAACCUCUAUGAUUAAGUAGAAGAAGAAAAGGCAUGAUAUAAGUAGAUCGAUAAAUCUCUGCCCCGUCUUGAACACGGACCAAGGAGCCUAACGUGUACGCAAGUCUCUUAGAUUUAAUAAGCUAAGUGGCAUAACGAAAGCAAGUAAUGUUAUUAUGUACAAUUUUAACAUGGUUACGAUGUUUUGUUUGAAAAGACGAAAUAGCAGUAACAAUGCGGUUCGUACGAGCCGUAUUAGAGCGUAUACGGUAGUACCCGAAAGAUGGUGAACUAUGCUUGAGCAAGGUGAAGCCAAAGGAAACUUUGGUGGAGGCCUGCAGCAGUUUUGACGUGCAAAUCAAUUGUCAGACUUGAGUAUAGCGGCGAAAGACUAAUCGAACCAUCUAGUAGCUGGUUUCCUCCGAAAUUUCCCGCAGGAUAGCAAGCGUCGUAUACCAUUUAAACCUGUUACAGUCUCAAUAGAAGGUAACGGGGCGUUAAUUGACCUUGUCCUUUUCUUAAACUCGGUCAAUGGGUUUUUAUUAACUACAUGCUAACUGCAUGUAGAUUAUGUUUAAUGGUGAUGCUUAGUGGGCCAUUUUUGGUAAGCAGAACUGGCGAUGCGGGAUGAACCGUACACAGAGUUAAGGUGCCAAAGUUUAAUACGCUAAUCAGAUCCCACUAAAGAUGUUGUUCGCUUAAGACAGUAGGGCGGUGGCCAUGGAAGUCGGCAUCCGCUAAGGAGUGUGUAACAACUCACCUACCGAAGCGUUCAACUCUGAAAAUGGAUGGCGCUUAAGCGUUACACUGAUACUCUGUCGUAGUAGUAAUUCCAUAAUAAUACAUAAUUUAAAAUCGAACAUUUUAAAGUGUAUAUUAAACUUCUACGAGUAGGAGGAAUGUGAUGACAGUGUUGAAGUUUUGAGCGUAAGCUCGAAUGGAACUGUUGUUAGUACAGAUCUUGGUGGUAGUAGCAAACAAACAAGUGACAACCUUGUUGACCGACGUGGAUAAGGGUUCCAUGGGAACAGUAAUUGGCCAUGGGUUAGUCGAUCCUGAAGAGUGACGUGAAAACGUUUUCGUAAGAAGCAUUUCUUGUGAAUGCACUCUGAAAGGGAAUGAGAUUAAUAUUUCUCAACCUUGUUCAUGCAAUUUAAGCGGUAACGCAAUCGAACUCAGAGACAUCUGCCAAAUUCCUGGAUAGAGAUAUCUUCUCUAUUUUAAGGUGUGCUGAAGUGCCUUGAAUCAGUUUAGCUGGAGACAGGCAUAUAUGCACCGAAUAGCAUUGCGCUUCAAGUAAUGUAAACAGUGUAUUUUGGUUGAUCCUUGAAAAUCUGGGUUAGUAUUUUAAGGCAUGACAAGAUCGUACCUAGCUCCGCAACAGGUAUCCUAGGUGAACAGCCUCUGGUCUAUUAGAAGAAUGUAGGUAAGGGAAGUCGGCAAACCUGAUCUGUAUCUUUGGUACAAAGGUUGGCUCUGGCGUGUUUGCUUGAUUUGCUUUGACAAGUAAAUUGGAAUAGAUUACUUGGACUGGUUGUGGUAACAUGACUGGCACUUGUUUUCAGUUCUAAUUGAAAGUUUUAGUGAGUCUUGCAAUUAAAACAAUUAGUCAGAACUAUCAUUGACUGUUCGGAAUCUGACUGUUUAAUUAAAACAUAGCAUUGAGAUGACCGGUGACCCGGUGUUGACUCAAUGUGAAUUCUGCCCAGUGCUCUGAAUGUCAACGUGUAGAAAUUCAAUGAAGCGCGGGUAAACGGCGGGAGUAACUAUGACUCUCUUAAGGUAGCCAAAUGCCUCGUCAUCUAAUUAGUGACGUGCAUGAAUGGAUUAACGAGAUUCCAUCUGUCCCUACUUACUAUCUAGCGAAACCACAGCCAAGGGAACGGGCUUGGCCAGAUCAGCGGGGAAAGAAGACCCUGUUGAGCUUGACUCUAGUCUGGCAUUGUGAGGAAACUGUAUCUGGUAUAGCAUAGGUGGGAGGCAAGGCAACUUGUCGUUAUCAACUGUAAAACCACCACAGUACAGCACCACUCACUGACUUAGUUAUGAGGCUUACUUAAUUGAUUUUCGGAUUGAUUAAGGAACUUUAUAAUUGCAAAUAAAGCAGAUAUGGUAAUUUGCUUGCAAAUUACAUAUCAUACCUGUGAGGCAUUAUCUAAGGACAGUGCCAGGCGGGGAGUUUGACUGGGGCGGUACAUCUAUCAAAUGCUAACGUAGGUGUCCUAAUGUUAGCUCAGUGAGACCAGAAAUCUCACGUAGAAUAUAAGGGUACAAGCUGGCUUGAUUCUGAAUAUCAGUGCGAUUGCGAGACAAGAAAUUGUGGCCUAACGAUCCUUUUGAAAAGCGAAAUAAAAUUGAUGCAUAAUACAAGAGGUGUCAGAAAAGUUACCACAGGGAUAACUGGCUUGUGGCGGCCAAGCGUUCAUAGCGACGCCGCUUUUUGAUCCUUCGAUGUCGGCUCUUCCUAUCAUUGUGAAGCAGAAUUCGCAAAGUGUAGAAUUGUUCACUCACUAACAGGGAACGUGAGCUGGGUUAGACCGUCGUGAGACAGGUUAGUUUUACCCUACUGAUUAAUGCGUCUUCGCGACAGAAUUCCUGCUUAGUACGAGAGGAACGGCGGAUACAGAGCAAUGGUUGAGCACUUGAUCGAUCGGUCAAGGUGCGAUGCUAACUCUGUAGGCUAAUGACUGAAAGCCUCUAAGUCAGAAGCCUGUCUGGUCAUUGCGAGGAUAUCCUUCCACGUGG
rnacentral:rRNA from 1 species